AUGAUCCGAACUGGGAGUAGCUGCCAGCAAGAGCCGCUCAUAGGGAAAGGCAGUGGCUGUUUACCUGCUUUGCUCAGCCAGACCAGGCGAGGACAGGGAGAACAGUUAAAUGGUUUGCCUUCAUCAAAAUGGACUGUUUGUUCCUGUCAGACGGCUGGAGAGAGAGGAAGGAUUCCUAUUGAUAUUCCCAUUGGUAAAAGUUGGAUCUCACUCUGA
rnacentral:lncRNA from 1 species